rnacentral:rRNA from 1 species
CAGCAGUGAGGAAGGUGGGUAUGUUAAUAGCAUAUCUAGUUUGACGUUAGCUGCAGAAGAAGCACCGGCUAACUCCGUGCCAGCAGCCGACGGUAAUACGGGAGGGUGCGAGCGUUAAUCGGAAUUACGUGGGACGUAAAGCGCAUGACAGGUGGUUUAGGUUAAGUCAGAUGUAGAAACGGCCCGGGGCUACAACCGUACGGUAAUUGCUAUUUAGAAACGUGGACAAACUAGAGUACUGUAGGAGGGGGUAGAAUUUCAGGUGUAGCGGUGAAAUGCGUAGAGAUCUGAAGGAAUACCGGUGGCGAAGGCCGGCCCCCUGGACAGAUACUGACACUCAGAUGACGAAAGCGUGGGGAGCAAACAGGAUUAGAUACCCUGGUAG